rnacentral:rRNA from 1 species
UACAGAGGGUGCGAGCGUUAAUCGGAAUUACUGGGCGUAAAGCGUGCGCAGGCGGUUUCGUAAGUCUGUCGUGAAAUCCCCGGGCUCAACCUGGGAAUUGCGAUGGAGACUGCGAGGCUAGAGUUUGGCAGAGGGGGGUAGAAUUCCACGUGUAGCAGUGAAAUGCGUAGAGAUGUGGAGGAACACCGAUGGCGAAGGCAGCCCCCUGGGUCAAAACUGACGCUCAUGCACGAAAGCGUGGGGAGCAAACAGG